CCCUUAGAUGUUCUGGGCCGCACGCGCGCUACACUGACGAAUGCAACGAGCUUAUAACCUUGGCCGAAAGGUCUGGGUAAUCUCCAAAUUUCGUCGUGAUGGGGAUAGAUUAUUGCAAUUAUUAAUCUUGAACGAGGAAUGCCUAGUAAGCGCAAGUCAUCAGCUUGCGUUGAUUACGUCCCUGCCCUUUGUACACACCGCCCGUCGCUCCUACCGAUUGAAUGGUCCGGUGAAGCGUUCGGACCGUGGCCUUUGGACGGUUCGCCGUCUGUUGGCUGCGGGAAGUUCGUUAAACCUUAUCAUUUAGAGGAAGGAGAAGUCGUAACA
rnacentral:rRNA from 1 species